UACGUAGGGCGCAAGCGUUGUCCGGAAUUAUUGGGCGUAAAGAGCUCGUAGGCGGCCUGUUACGUCUGCUGUGAAAUCCCGGGGCUUAACCCCGGGCGUGCAGUGGAUACGGGCAGGCUGGAGGCGGGCAGGGGAGAACGGAAUUCCCGGUGUAGCGGUGAAAUGCGCAGAUAUCGGGAGGAACACCGGUGGCGAAGGCGGUUCUCUGGGCCUGUACUGACGCUGAGGAGCGAAAGCGUGGGGAGCGAACAGG
rnacentral:rRNA from 1 species